rnacentral:misc_RNA from 1 species
CUCAGCCUGCAACAGUGGCAGACCACGGUGGCCACCAACCUCACCGCGCCGUUCCUUUGCACGCAGCAUGCCUUCCGCAUCAUGAAGGACCAGACGCCGCGCGGCGGGCGCAUCAUCAACAACGGCUCCNNNAUGCCCCUCGCCCCUUCUCGUCGCCUUACACCGCGACCAAGCAUGCGAUCAGCGGCCUCACCCGCGCCACUGCGCUGGACGGCCGCGCCUAUGACAUCGCCUGCGGCCAGAUCGACAUCGGCAAUGCCGCCACCGAGAUGACCGAGCGCAUGGCCGGCGGUGUGUUGCAGCCGCGCGGCGACACCAUGGUCGAGCCGCGCAUGGAUGUGCAGAACGUCGCCGACGCCAUCGUGUUCAUGGCCACGCGCUCGCUCGACGCCAACGCGCUGUUCCUCAACAUCAUGGCGACCAAGAUGCCGUUCGUCGGACGGGGGUGACGGCUCAGGCCGUCAGUUCCACCGUCUCGNUUAAUCGCGCGGCGCAGUCUCAACAUACUCUGUCGCCAUCACCGGGCUUGUCCCGGUGAUC